rnacentral:rRNA from 1 species
GGGAAACUUCUGCUAAUACCGCAUACGCCCUGAGGGGGAAAGAUUUAUCGCUAUGAUAUCGGCCCGCGGCAGAUUAGGCAGUUGGUGGGUAAAGGCCUACCAAACCUACGAUCUAUAGCUGGUCUGAGAGGACGAUCAGCCACAUUGGAACUGAGACACGGUCCAGACUCCUACGGGAGGCAGCAGUGAGGAAUAUUGGGCAAUGGAGGGAACUCUGACCCAGCCAUGCCGCGUGAGUGAGAAGGUUUCGAAUUGUAAAGCUCUUUCGGGUGUGAAGAUGAUGACGGUAACACCAGAAGAAGCCCGGCAACUUCGUGCC